rnacentral:rRNA from 1 species
AGUACGAGAGGACCGGGAUGGACGAACCUCUGGUGUGCCAGUUGUCCCGCCAGGGGCACGGCUGGUUGGCUACGUUCGGAAGUGAUAACCGCUGAAUGCAUCUAAGCGGGAAGCACGUUUCAAGAUGAGGUUUCCCACCACGUAAGUGGGUAAGGCCCCCAGCAGAACACUGGGUUGAUAGGCCGGAGGUGUACAGCAGUAAUGCCUAGCCGACCGGUACUAAUAGGCCGAGGGCUUG